UACGUAGGGGGCGAGCGUUAUCCGGAUUUAUUGGGUGUAAAGCGUGUGUAGGCGGUUUCUUAAGUCUAAAGUCAAAGCCCGGAGCUUAACUCCGGUUCGCUUUAGAAACUGGGUCACUUGAGUAUGGUAGAGGCAAAUGGAAUUUCUAGUGUAGCGGUAAAAUGCGUAGAUAUUAGAAGGAACACCAGUGGCGAAGGCGAUUUGCUGGGCCAUUACUGACGCUGAGACACGAAAGCGUGGGGAGCAAA
rnacentral:rRNA from 1 species